rnacentral:lncRNA from 1 species
CACACUCAUAAUAAUUGUUACUGUAAUCGUAAUUACCCUGCGGAUCCUCACCGGGAGCUCCAGCACCCCCCUCCAUCCUGGAUUCCCACAAACAACAGGCUGCAACAGAGAGAUAUCCCAAACACCCCCAGGGUAGAUGUGCCUCAAUCUGCAGGACAUCCCAGAGAGGUCAUGCGUGAGGCCAGCGUGCAUCUGUCCCGCCAGGGUCCAGCAGCAACACAGGAGAUGAGGAGGACCAUCAGCCUACCUGAGCAGUGCAGAAACGUUUUCAUCACAUAUUCGGCGGACACAGCAAAAGAGAUCAUUCCUUUCACCAAAUUUCUGAUUGAUCAGGGGUUCAAACCAGCGGUAAGUUCUGCCACUGCUCUGUCAGUGUUUAACGUACCAAUUCCCCACCAUUCAAUUCACUGA